rnacentral:lncRNA from 1 species
AAUUGUGAUGUCAGGUGCCAGGUCAGACUGGUAGGGAUGUGGCGGGGGUUGCCUAAAGGGGGCCUGAGGCUUGCCGGAGGAAGGCGGGUGAUGUUCAGAUGAUGGAGGGCUUGGUGCCCGGCUGACUGACGGCCGGUGUUCCAGGCGAACCUGAAGAAGUUCAUGGACUACGUCCAGCUGCAUAGCACGGACAAGGUGGCACGCCUGUUGGACAAGGGGCUGGACCCCAACUUCCAUGACCCUGACUCAGGAGAGUGCCCCCUGAGCCUCGCAGCCCAGCUGGACAACGCCACGGACCUGCUAAAG